rnacentral:rRNA from 2 species
UUGACCUCGGAUCAGGUAGGGAUACCCGCUGAACUUAAGCAUAUCAAUAAGCGGAGGAAAAGAAACCAACUGGGAUUGCCUUAGUAACGGCGAGUGAAGCGGCAAUAGCUCAAAUUUGAAAGCUGGCGCCUUCGGCGUCCGCGUUGUAAUUUGUAGAGGAUGCUUCGGCGAGGACUCCUGCCUAAGUUCCCUGGAAUGGGACGUCACAGAGGGUGAGAAUCCCGUAUGUGGCGGGCGGUCCAAGCCAUGUGAAGCUCCUUCGACGAGUCGAGUUGUUUAGGAAUGCAGCUCUAAAUGGGAGGUAAAUUUCUUCUAAAGCUAAAUACCGGCCAGAGACCGAUAGCGCACAAGUAGAGUGAUCGAAAGAUGAAAAGCACUUUGGAAAGAGAGUUAAAAAGUACGUGAAAUUGUUGAAAGGGAAGCGCUUGCAACCAGACUCGCUCGCAGUUGCUCAGCCCGCCUCUUGGUGGGUGUACUCUUCUGCGAUCGGGCCAGCAUCAGUUCGGGCGGCUGGAUAAAGGUGUCGGGAAUGUAGCACCCUUCGGGGUGUGUUAUAGCCCGGCGCGGAAUGCAGCCAGCCUGGACUGAGGAUCUCGCUUCGGCAAGGAUGCUGGCGUA